rnacentral:rRNA from 1 species
UACAGAGGUCUCAAGCGUUGUUCGGAUUCACUGGGCGUAAAGGGUGCGUAGGCGGUCGGGUAAGUCUGAUGUGAAAUCUCCAAGCCUAACUUGGAAACUGCAUUGGAUACUAUCCGGCUAGAGGAAUGGAGGGGAGACUGGAAUACUUGGUGUAGCAGUGAAAUGCGUAGAUAUCAAGUGGAACACCAGUGGCGAAGGCGGCGCUCUGGACCGAGACUGACGCUGAGGCGCGAAAGCGUGGGGAGCAAACAGG